GGGAGGCUUUGAAGUGUGGACGCCAGUCUGCAUGGAGCCGACCUUGAAAUACCACCCUUUAAUGUUUGAUGUUCUAACGUUGACCCGUAAUCCGGGUUGCGGACAGUGUCUGGUGGGUAGUUUGACUGGGGCGGUCUCCUCCUAAAGAGUAACGGAGGAGCACGAAGGUUGGCUAAUCCUGGUCGGACAUCAGGAGGUUAGUGCAAUGGCAUAAGCCAGCUUGACUGCGAGCGUGACGGCGCGAGCAGGUGCGAAAGCAGGUCAUAGUGAUCCGGUGGUUCUGAAUGGAAGGGCCAUCGCUCAACGGAUAAAAGGUACUCCGGGGAUAACAGGCUGAUACCGCCCAAGAGUUCAUAUCGACGGCGGUGUUUGGCACCUCGAUGUCGGCUCAUCACAUCCUGGGGCUGAAGUAGGUCCCAAGGGUAUGGCUGUUCGCCAUUUAAAGUGGUACGCGAGCUGGGUUUAGAACGUCGUGAGACAGUUCGGUCCCUAUCUGCCGUGGGCGCUGGAGAACUGAGGGGGGCUGCUCCUAGUACGAGAGGACCGGAGUGGACGCAUCACUGGUGUUCGGGUUGUCAUGCCAAUGGCACUGCCCGGUAGCUAAAUGCGGAAGAGAUAAGUGCUGAAAGCAUCUAAGCACGAAACUUGCCCCGAGAUGAGUUCUCCCUGACUCCUUGAGAGUCCUGAAGGAACGUUGAAGACGACGACGUUGAUAGGCCGGGUGUGUAAGCGCAGCGAUGCGUUGAGCUAACCGGUACUAAUGAACCGUGAGG
rnacentral:rRNA from 1 species